GCAGUUUCAGAACAAGUCACACGGCAGGAAUCUGCGAAACAUCGGCCUGGUGAUUCUUGGAGCUGCAUUCAGAUUGGCCUGGAGGCUUGGCCGGCACUUUCUUAGCUGCUUGGUUUAACCAGUGUUUAUCUGGGGGCUAGUAGUUAAGCUUGGGUAAUUCGUUAGCUCCUAAUCUCACUGCAGAUUUAAACAGCUAGCUCCACUGCGUAUGUGGAGUAUGGAAUGUUCCAGAAAUUCAGAGAGAAAUAAAUUCGUUUCCUUUUUUAUUCGUUUCUAGUUAAGGAUAUGAUCUGUGUAGCGUAAAGAUGAGCAAUAUAGUUACCACAUACAGUGUAU
rnacentral:lncRNA from 1 species